UACGUAGGGUGCAAGCGUUAAUCGGAAUUACUGGGCGUAAAGCGUGCGCAGGCGGUUUUGUAAGUCUGUCGUGAAAUCCCCCGGGCUUAACCUGGGAAUUGCGAUGGAGACUGCAAGGCUAGAAUCUGGCAGAGGGGGGUAGAAUUCCACGUGUGAGCAGUGAAAUGCGUAGAGAUGUGGAGGAACACCGAUGGCGAAGGCAGCCCCCUGGGUCAAGAUUGACGCUCAUGCACGAAAGCGUGGGGAGCAAACAGG
rnacentral:rRNA from 1 species